rnacentral:lncRNA from 1 species
AUAGCUUUGAUUUUAAUGUAUGGCACUAAUUCCUAUUUCUAGCUUUAUCUAUUUGACUGAGCUCCAGAAUCAUAUCCAAAUCCCCAAAUAACAUCUACUUUCUGAUGAGCCACAGUCAUGUCAAAAUUAGUUGAUUAAAUCUAAAGUCAUCUGCCACCCAAAAAAAGUCAUGUUACCAUGUUCCAUAGUUUAGUGAAAGAUAUUAUUUGACCACUUAUACUCUGAAGCCAUAAAUACCAAUAACAGCUGUAUUAAUCAGGUUUAUUAUAUUAUAAAAAUACAUCUCAAAACUUUGUGGUUCAACACACAUACACACAUGUGUGCUACUUCUCCUGUUCGUUCCAUUCGUAUUAGAAUCAAUAUAGAGCAGUGGGGUCUCUGCUCCAUGCAUUCAUUUUGAACUUUUAUCUAUUGGAUCUACUGUUUUCUAAACAUGGCUCCAAGAUCAUCUUGACAUCAUCCAGCCAAGUAACUGGGAAAUCAAAGAAAGCCUGGAGAAACUAUGCCAUCUUUAACUCCCUUUCCCAUAAAUUGCUUCUGUUUACAGUCCACAGGAAGGAAUUUUUCAUGAGGCUCCAACCAGCCACAAGAUAAUUAAAAGCAUCCAUUAACUCAUGCAAAGGAAGAGGAAAUGGCUUGGUGAACAUCUAGCCAGUGUCUACAACAUCAUCUUGCUCUCCUCCUCCUUCCUUACCUGGUAUCUAAUCAUUUGCCUGGUCUGUGCAUUAUCAUUCUUUAGCAUCUUACAUACUGCUAUUUUCUAUUCUGCAGUGUCACUUCUUUAGCUAAGAUUCUCAAAAUUCUUACCAUGAUUCUGCAGUUGCCCAUGCUCUGCUCAUUAUAGGAGCAACGUUGAUCUUUCAAAGGCUGAAUUGAUCCUAUCAUUAUUUUGGUUGGAAUCCUGAGAUCUCCAAGAAAAACUUAAACUCCUCAGCCUGGAGUGAAUCUUCACACUGUGGGCACUGACCAUAUAUCUCAUCGCAUUGCUUAUAACAUGUUGCACAAAAAUACUCAAGCCUGUCCAAAUUUCCUGUAAGACCUUAACUCUCUGACUUUGAACAUCUUAAUGGCUCUCCAGCUCUUUAAAUAUUGAGCCAGCAUUCAUCCAUUGUUUCCACGUCCAAAGUCAUUUUCUCAAGGAAAGAAUUCCUGACUUCUCUCCACUAACUGCUGGGUUAGAUGUCCUCAUGUCUCACCAUUACUACAUGAAUUCAUGCUUCUCUGUAAAUUAUGCUAUCUUACAAAUUUAUAGUUGUUCAUAAGCAUUUAUUUGUUUAAGUUAACACAACAUUGUAAAUAAGCUACAUGUUAGUAAAAUUAAAUUAAAAAAAUAGAUUAUGAUUCAACUCUUCUUUGCCCCUCCAAUAACCAAAAAACAUGAAAGUUACCAAAUGCAGGAUCUAGAUUAUCUAUAAGAACACAAAGAACCCAUGUAUUUUUUUAAUUAAUUAAAUGAAAUCACUGGGUGAUCAAAUAAUCUCUUUAGGGUUAGUUUAGUAUCUUUCGAUUCAAAGUUCUUUCCAAUUUCUUUAUAAACAAAUCCUCUCUUUAAAUAUCCUCUUUGUAUAUUUCUUUAAGUUUUCUUUGCCAUCAUGGUUGUAUAAAUUCUCAUCACCUAUUUCCUGGCAUUAUCAUGUUAACUGGUCUCCUUGCCUUCUUUUUUGUCUUAAAUGAAUCUAAUGGGGAUAUUAUUGCUAAAACUCUCCAAGGUGUCACUGAAUCUUAUCACUGUCAGCUUGCCCCAAUCAGAUAUCAUUAUUGUUUACCUGAAGGAUCUGUUGCCUGAAGGACAAAAUUCCUCUCCUCUAGCUAGACAUUUGAAGGCAUCCAAACUUUGACCCUGUCUAACUUGUCUAUCCAUAUGUACCAAUAUUUCCCAGCAUGGAAGUGACUCUUGAGCAUCUGAAGAAUGUUCUUGCUUCCUGACCAACAUACAGCUUUUACUUCCCCUCUACUCAAUUUCAUUGCUUGUAUAAUAUAUGAAUUUUACCAUGCAUUACCUUCUGAUUUACUUCAUUAAAAUCCAUUGCACUUAAGAAGGGUAAGUUCCUUAAAAGAAGAAAUGCUUGUUUUUUCUUAUGCCCAAAGUAAUGGGUGUUUACACUGUGCAAACAUGUCACAAAACAAAGAAAAACAACAGACAUAAAUAUAAACAGGAAUUCCCUGAUGGUUUAGCAGGUUAAGGAUCCAAAUGCUUGUCACUCCUAUGGUGUGGAUUUGAUCCCAUGCCCAGAAACUGCCACAUGAUGUGGGCACAGCCAAAAAAAAAAUUUUUUUAAAGCUUUCUUUUCUUUUCCCUUCCUUCCUUUCUUUCUUCCUUCCUUUCUUUCUUUUCUGGGCCGCACCUGUGGCAUAUGGAAGUUCCCAGGCUAGGGGUUGAAUUGGAGCUGUAGCUGCUGGCCUACACCACAGCCACAGCAAUGCUGGAUCCCAGCUGUGUCUGUGACCUACACCAUAGCUCACAAAAGGCUGGAUCCUUACCCUCUGAGAAAGGCCAGGGAUCGAAUCCAAAACCUCAUGGAUACUAGUCAGGUUCUUAACCUUCUGAGCCACAACAGGAACUCCUUGCUUUCUUAUUUUUGAAGCCUGGUACUGAUUAUUUAAUGAGUCAUGGAGACAUAGAUGGCACUGAAUAUGUGCUGGCUUUCAUCAAUUCAACAAAAUACAUACAUACAUAAAUAUUAAAAUAAAAAACUCACUCCCUUCCAAUGUCCAUGCCAUAAUUAGCUUCUGUGGAACUUCAGAUGUCUAAUAUAGGAUCAAACUUUUCUUCAGAUUCCUACUAACCCCUAAAUUCUAUUUUCUUAUUCACAUUAAACUGAAAAGAUGUUUUGCUUCAUUUGUUGACAUAUUCUAAUACUCAUUUAAAUUUCACAUAUUUAUUCCACAAAUAUGAAUUGAACAUCAACUAUAUGCCAAAUAUAUAUCACACAAAUUAUUUUGUGAGAAAGCAGUAUGUGUGGUCAUGAACAAGGGCUUGGAAAUAUAAAAAUUCAGAAGCCAUAGACUUUCAUUGUAUGCUCCCUUGUCCCAGGCAUCAUGGUGGUACUUUGGCUCAGCAAAUUCUUACUCAUCUGCCAAGGCUCAGUUCAGGCAUCGGUGUUUCAGUAGUGGUAUAUUCUCUACACAGACUGGGAUGACUUUUGCUUUGGAAGCAUACUGCUUUUAAGGAAUUGGCCACUCUAUCAUCCCUAUGAACCCUGUCUCUUCCCCAUUGAAAAUGCAGACUUCAUGAGACAAUGUCUGCGAUCAGAAGCAUAAGGAAGUUUCUGGUACAUAAGAGCCCUUCACAACAUUUAUUUAAUCAAGAUAUGUAACUUCCCUGUAUGAAAUGUUGCACUAUUCCACUCACAUUACCUCUGCAGGUGACACAAUCACCCAUUAUCUUCUGUGAUGACCAGCUGCAUUUUACACACAACUCUGAAAAUCCUCCUGAGUUUCUUCAACAUCAACUGAGGCUAUGGUUUAGCCAUUUCCUCUGCCAUCUCUGCCUUCUUACUUCCUUGCAGAUAUGUCUUCUAAAAACACUCAUUAACAAAACAUGUGCCCAUGAAAUUUCAUCUUAGAGUCUUUUCUAAGAAACCUAACCUGAGCCACUUGCCUUAAGGUGUUUUCAAUCUAGUUGAGGAAGCAUACUUAAAACAAACAGAAAACUAUACAAAGGAGUCCAAAGAACAAGUACAGAAAUGAAGAAAAAAUCACAGAGAAAACAGAUGUCAGUAUCACAAAUAUCAGAUUGGCUACUGACAGUCAGGGAAGAAGGUGAAGUAAGCACAGCAUUCAAUAAGGAGUGUUGUAAGACCCCAAGACUUUUGGAUUUAAUGUAUUUAAUCCCAGUUCUGACUCAACACUUUACUAAGCCCUUCAACUAUGUGGCUGACAUUUCUAAAACACUGCUCUUUCAUCUAUUGAGUGGACAUCAAUACCACACAAAUGGCAGGACUCUAGGGAUGAUUCCAAAUAAUACAUAAAAAACAUCUUCCCUGUGAUUGCCAUUCAAUUAAUAUUAACUAUUAUAAUUAUUUAGGGAGUGGGAAUGGAAAAAAAAUGGCUAUAAGGGGCACAUGGUAAAUCUAGGGAAUGAUGAAGAGAGAAGGUUAGUUGGAUCAGAUCCCAUGCAUUAUAAAUAAAACAGUGAAAAUAUACAAAUAAACUGCUACUAUUUUUUACUAACUAUCUCUUCCAUUUCUAUUUUAAAGUGAAAUUUUACUUUUGGUAUCAAUAUGAGCAGAUCUUAUUCUUGGACCAGUGUUCUUUCAAUCACAUGAGAUAAUGGAACUUUCGUAUACUUUAGUACAAAAAUGAAUUUUUAGAGAGAUGUAUCAUUGGUGAUCUCAAAAUUCUACUGACCUAGAUAUGCAAGAGAUUAAACGUGAGUCUCUAACUCUCCAUGGCUAACUCUCUUCAUUUGAACAUUACUUUAGUCACCAUAAGAAGCAAGGAUUCUACCUGCAAGGAAACAAUGACUUUUAAUCUUCUUUCAGUCAAUAUAUGAACCCAAGUACAAGAGUAAAAUUAAAUGAAAUAAAAUAAGAUGAAAUAGAAUGUCAAAUUAAGAGCCUGAACUUCCUUAUCUUCCUACAUAUCUUCCUCAUUCUGGAAGUAUAAAUAUUGCCUAUUUAUAUUAUAUGUGUGUGUGUGUGUGUAUACAUAUAUAUAUAAUAUAAAUAUUGACUGUUUAUAUCUCCAAUCCCUCAACUCCUUACCUUGAUUCAUAUUUAUUAUGACUCCUCUGAUCCAACUGCAAAAUGUAAAUGUAGUGUUGAAAUUUCAAAACAUACUCUAGAAAUAAAAAGGUGGGAAAACCUCCCCCAUGCAGACACCAGAGAGGCUAUUAGAAUAAAUGAAAAGAGUCACUUGGCUACAGAAAGCACAUCUUUUCACACAGAGAGCUCUACAUCUGAGGGCUAUUCACACCCUAGGGAUAAAAAUCAUUCAGGUUCUGGGCACUUGAUAAUAGAAUGAACUCUAAAAAUAUCAGCUCUCGUCCUAUCACAUGGCUUCGCCAAUUCACCCAGGGGCAAACCUUUUGUGCUUUGUAUAAUAUGUGAACCUGUUGUCAACUGCAUCAUCUGUGUGGUCUGCUCCCAUUACCCUGGCUUCCAGCCCAGUCCUCUACAGAAUAUCACUGAUGAAAAUCACUUAGGAUCCCUGGUUUCAUCUCUGCAAUAUUGAGAGUCCACAUUUGUAUCAGUCAGCUUAAUUCGAGUGGGUAUAAUAAUAAAUGAUACUAAAAAUAGUGAGUUGAGACAUUAAAAGGUUAUUUCUCCUCCACAUUAAAUAUGGAUUAUGAAUGGGUUCAACUCAGCUCCAUGUCACCUUCACUCAAGGACCCAGAAGCAGCCCCAUUUUCCAACACUGUUUGCCUCAUGGCUGAAGGGAAAGAUUUCAUGCUGAAGUACACACUGGCUAUUAAAGUUUCUUCUUAGACUUUAUACACAUUACUUAUGUUCAUAGUUCACUGGGCAAAGCAAGUCAUAGGGCCAAACGAUAGCAAUGGAGCAAACGUAGAUUUAAUCCUCUUGUAAGGAAUAGCACUGUAUGCAGGGUAUUCCAGGAAGAGAUAUGCCAAGGAGGGGCAAGAAAGAAAUACCAUGAAAAUUAAUAUAAUCCAUCACAAUAUUCAUUACGGGCUAUCUUUUCUAGGAAAUCAAAUCUCUCAAGCAGAACUACCCAAUAAACUUUCAAAGAUGAUGAAAAUAUUCCAUAUCUGCAAUGGUCAAUACAAUAACUACUAGCCACAUCAUUGUGUCUAGUGAACUAAGAAACUCAAUUUUUAACUUUAUGUAAUUUUUAUAAAUUUAAGUAGCCACAUGUGGAUAACAGUUACUGCAUCGCUUGGCCCUAUUCUAAAGCUUAGAUUUAGAGAAAAGGAAUCAGGAUGACAACCAAGCACUAAGUAAAAUAAGCAUGGUCAUGAUAACCUGAGGAGAAUGGGGGGAGGGGGAACCACCCACGAAUGUUUCCACACAAAUGAUAAGAGUUUAGUGACAACGAAGAUUUCGCUUCUGAAGAGAGCCUUUACAAGAGAGCUGGUUUAUAGAACAUGGAAAAAAAAUGAUGUGGCAUUGCAAAAUGUUAAUGUGACCCUGGAAAACAGGAAUUAAAAAAAAAAAAAAUGACUCUGUGCUCCUGGAAUGAAAACCAAGAACACGUCUCUCCAAAAGCAAGAAGACAGCAAGGGAUGUUAUGGAACUUCUGGGGACUAACUACCUGGAGUCACCAGAUGAAUUUCUCAGCUUUCAGGAGGCAACAUGGCCCUGUGGGCUUUAGCAAUCCAAAGAUUGCAUGCAUGCCCUUGGUGAAACAGGCUUUCCCAUCCAUAGUCGAUGCACACAAACUGAGUGUAAAUGGCUUGAGGUCUUCUCCUUCUUGCGGGAUAAGCAUUGCUUGAAGGUCCAUAUUCUGAGGCUCUCGUCAUUUUGCAUGUCUAACAGAAACACAGCUCUGUCUCAUCCUUACCCCCAACUCAGUUCCACCUCAGCUCCAUUCUCAGGCCUAGGAUUGAUAAAACCUGAAAGGCUAGUCUUUGAGUGAAGGCUGAAUUUGUGUUAGAGGACAGUGGUGGCUCUGAAAUCCAGAUCUGGUUUGAACCCCAGCUUCUCUACCUAAAUCUAUGUGAACUGUGUGACCUGGGACUUUUUUGGAGUCCCACUUACCUCAUCUGUAACAUAAUGGUAAUAGAACUUAACAUCAUUUCUUUUAAGGAAUGUAUGAACUAAAGCAUCUACAGUGCUUAGUCCAUUGUCUGACAUACACACAAAAAUGUUCUCACUGCAAGACAAGUUUACAACAAUAAUCUAUUCCAACUCCUCAGUUUUAGCAAAAGGGGGAGUAGUCAUUUAAAAUUUGUUUAAAUUCAUUCAUUUAAGUCUAAACAUUACCACAGCUAAGAGAUCAAUAACACUUCACUGUACUCCCCUUGAAAUACUUUGUUUAUGUAUUUGGCUUGAAAAGGAUAGCAGAAAUACCUGGAUAUUAAUCCUAGCCCUAGCAUUUCCAAGCUGGGAGGGUAUGCACAUACCACCCUCCAAGAGAGUCCCUUAUCUUUGGAAAGGAGCCGGUGCCAUGCUGGUACAAGGAUUCAAUGAUUAAUCAUACAUAAAGGGCCUACUACAAGAUCUAGGAAAUUUGCUCCAUGAAAGAGAUGAAUUUCUUUGGUUUCUUAUUCCAUUGUUGUAUUAGGAGAAAGAGAUUUCAGAUAGACAAAAAUAUGUAAAAUCCUCCAAUCCUACAGUCAAUUUCUCCCUUGUCAAAGAUGGAACCAUGUAUCUCUCAUUUCUUUUUCUUCUUUUUUUGUCUUUUUAGGGCCGCACAGGAGGCAUAUGGAGGUUCCCAGGCUAGGGGUCAAAUCAGAGCUGUAGCUGCCAGCCUACCCCAAACCACAGCAAUGCCAGAUCCUAGCCAUGUCUGUGAACUACACCACAGCUCAUGGCAACGCCAGAUCCUUAACCCACUGAGAAAGGCCAGGGAUUGAACCCACAUGCUCAUGGAUACUAGUCAGGUUCCUUAACCCCUGAGUCAUGGUAACUCCCAUAUGU